CUGCACUCAAGGGUUUUACCAGCCAGGCUCCUGGCUAAAUUCCAGCUCUUAGCUGGAUUUAGUCAAAGCUUGGCUGUAACAAAACCAGA
rnacentral:pre_miRNA from 1 species